AUGGCUCAGAUUGAACGCUGGCGGCAUGCUUUACACAUGCAAGUCGAACGGUAACAGGCCGCAAGGUGCUGACGAGUGGCGAACGGGUGAGUAAUGCAUCGGAACGUGCCCAGUCGUGGGGGAUAACGCAGCGAAAGCUGCGCUAAUACCGCAUACGAUCUAUGGAUGAAAGCGGGGGACCGUAAGGCCUCGCGCGAUUGGAGCGGCCGAUGUCAGAUUAGGUAGUUGGUGGGGUAAAGGCUCACCAAGCCAACGAUCUGUAGCUGGUCUGAGAGGACGACCAGCCACACUGGGACUGAGACACGGCCCAGACUCCUACGGGAGGCAGCAGUGGGGAAUUUUGGACAAUGGGCGCAAGCCUGAUCCAGCAAUGCCGCGUGCAGGAAGAAGGCCUUCGGGUUGUAAACUGCUUUUGUACGGAACGAAAAGGCUCUGGUUAAUACCUGGGGCACAUGACGGUACCGUAAGAAUAAGCACCGGCUAACUACGUG
rnacentral:rRNA from 1 species